AACGAACGCUGGCGGCAUGCCUAACACAUGCAAGUCGAACGAGACCUUCGGGUCUAGUGGCGCACGGGUGCGUAACGCGUGGGAACCUGCCCUUAGGUUCGGAAUAACUCCCCGAAAGGGGUGCUAAUACCGGCUAAUGUCUUCGGACCAAAGAUUUAUCGCCUUUGGAUGGGCCCGCGUGGGAUUAGCUAGUUGGUAGGGUAAACGCCUACCAAGGCGACGAUCCAUAGCUGGUCUGUGAGGCUGCUCAGCCACACUGGGACUGAGACACGGCCCAGACUCCUACGGGAGGCAGCAGUGGGGAAUAUUGGACAAUGGGCGAAAGCCUGAUCCAGCAAGGCCGCGUGAGUGAUGAAGGCCUUAGGGUUGUAAAGCACUUUUACCCGGGAUGAUAAUGACAGUACCGGGAGAAUAAGCACCGGCUAACUCCGUG
rnacentral:rRNA from 1 species